UGCCUAAACCAACAAAUUUAUUUGUAGGCAUGGCAAAAAAGACCUAUGGAAGGUACUGAACCCUGCGUUCAGCGACUCUUCCAUGGGCUGUACUCCGAAAGGUGUAUGGGAUCGCAAGAUCU
rnacentral:sRNA from 1 species